rnacentral:misc_RNA from 1 species
GUUGGCACAGAAGUAAGAUACAGCAUGAGACGUUGGUAAUCCAAGUCAGAUAAAUUAUGAAAAUUACCAUUAUCUGGAAAAGUAAUUAUAGGACAUCCUUCUCGAGUUUUUCCUCCUACAUAUGUGCAUACUGUGAUUGAAGAAGGUCUGCAACAUCUCGGAUUGCCAAAUCUCCAUUUUCAAUCUCACCUGUCAUGCUCUC